CGUAGAAGUAGUAUCAGCAUUUGUAAUAGUAUUACAAGUUGUAGUAGCAGUGCCAGUAUCAGCAGCAGUAGUGAGUGCAAUACCACUACUACUAGUAGUAGUCACAUUGCUAUUACUAUUACUACCACCAAUACUACCAAUAGUAGUUAUAAAGCCUAACUCAUGUAUAUCCAGAUUACCAUCUAUGUUCUUCCUCCAAACCCAUUUUAUGAUUGGGAUUACAGGCAGUUCUUUAGGAUUGCUCUCAAAUAAUUGAAAUGUUACUAAACAAGGUUAUACUUAUCAAAUUAAAUAGCUCUGGUCUCCAGUAUAUUGGCGGAUUCGGUUAUUUGUACUUAAUUUAUUGGCAUGAUUUCUUUUUAAUAUGUUGUGUACAGACUUAAUUACUUCUCUGUCUACUUUUCUUACUCCAUGUAGGUUUCCCAGAGACUGUGGGUUGAGGAGGAAUUGGAAGUUUGUCGGCUUAGACCUGGUGUCAUUCCAUCAGUGUUAAAGUUCCCGGCUCAUCUUGGAAGAGUACGUGCCAGAAAGACCACAACCAAGCAGCCUUGAGAUCUUAGGCAGCGUCUCCCUCAGACCAAAGAACUACAGACUCUUCACAACCUGCUCAAACUCUUGGUACAGGACCUCACCACAUGGGUCAAGAAGGUUUCCAUCUCAUUUCUACUCUGAAGCUCACCUUCUCCUGCUCAAACUGCUGACAAAUGUUUCUGCUGCUCUAAAGUCUGGUCUCCAGAACUUCCUAAAAACUCUCAAAGUCUCUUCUGCUGCAGGUUGCUUUGUAGAACUGUUCCAGAAAACCUCACUAAACCACAUGGAGGGGCCUCAAGAUAGUCGUCCAAAUGAAACCGUACAAAAACCAAACUAGCACAACCCAAACGCUAAAGUCUCCUGCAGCCUACCAGAGAACCUCUGAGAACAGAGAAUCAGGACAGGAACUCUUACCUUCUGGACAACCAACGUUGGUUCUCAAACAAGAAUACAGAAUGUGUCUGACCAGAAACCUCUGAAGACUCACUACAGCCAAGAUAAAGACACAACUCAGCUGCAGCAAAUCCACUAAUCACUGCACACAUCAGCACCAUGUGCUAACUGUGGCUAAAGAACCACAUUUACCAAGACAACUAUUCAGUACAAAGCCCUAAAACACACCAAGAAACACAUUAAACCCUAUUUUACUGCUGGAAGCUGCAAGCCAACGCCUAAAGAACAAACUAAAGCAAUGGAACCAAACCCGGUUCAGUGGUGAACAGAAACAGAUGAAAUGUUUGGCUGCAGCCACAUAAAGCAGGAAGACACUGAUCUGCUCAGGUGUUCCUGAUAAUACCAAGCAGCCACCUGGACAGCCAAUAGGAACACAGCUUACUGGGAGUCCAGAGGGCUGGCUUAGUGAAGGAAAUUUAGUUUAAAGUUGAAGCAGAAAGUUAACAAAGAAAGUUGAAAACCACCUUCUGAUACCUGAAAUCUCUGAGUUUUCACACAAAGAACACCUGAAUAUGUCAAACUGGUUCCAUAGUAGAACCAUCAUUGUAAAAACGUCAUAGUAUGGUGUGUUGCUCAAAAAACAUUAGGACCCGGCUGUCAGGGGACAAACAUGUAAGAAACAUGAGAACAGAGAGAACCCAACCAGUAGGUCACAGCUUUUUAGUUUUUAAUAAACAUUUAAAAGCCUAUAUGUAAUCAAUAAAUGGCCUUUGCCUAUCUUAAGAAAAACUCACUCAGAAUUCUGAUAUGUUAACAGUACUAAAUAAAUCAAUAAAUACAUGCAUACACACAUAAAUAAGUUAAUACAUUAUCUGUGUUAAGAUUUAGAUUUUAAAAAAGUUGUUUAUGUUUUUGCAGAAUCCAGUAUUGCUCACUGGUUGGUCAUUACAUUUUGUUAGUUUGAUUUCACUGUUUAAAAUGAUGCCACCUCUUUUCAGACAGAACCUGUGAUAAUAAAACAAUACAAAAUGUUUAGUUCCGUG
ensembl:lncRNA